ACCUGGUUGGCUCAGUCAGUAAAGCAUGUGACUCUUGAUCUCAGGGUUGUAAGUUUAAGCCCCACAUUGGGUG
rnacentral:tRNA from 1 species